UACGAAGGGGGCUAGCGUUGUUCGGAAUUACUGGGCGUAAAGCGCGCGCAGGCGGUCCUUCAAGUCAGAGGUGAAAGCCCAGAGCUCAACUCUGGAACGGCCUUUGAGACUAGAGGACUUGGGUACGGGAGAGGUGAGUGGAAUUCCGAGUGUAGAGGUGAAAUUCGUAGAUAUUCGGAAGAACACCAGUGGCGAAGGCGGCUCACUGGCCCGUUACCGACGCUCAGGCGCGACAGCGUGGGGGAGCAAACAGG
rnacentral:rRNA from 1 species